rnacentral:rRNA from 1 species
GACGAACGCUGGCGGCGUGCCUAAUACAUGCAAGUUGAGCGAUGAAGAUUGGUGCUUGCACCAAUUUGAAGAGCAGCGAACGGGUGAGUAACGCGUGGGGAAUCUGCCUUUGAGCGGGGGACAACAUUUGGAAACGAAUGCUAAUACCGCAUAACAACUUUAAACAUAAGUUUUAAGUUUGAAAGAUGCAAUUGCAUCACUCAAAGAUGAUCCCGCGUUGUAUUAGCUAGUUGGUGAGGUAAAGGCUCACCAAGGCGAUGAUACAUAGCCUACCUGAGAGGGUGGUCGGCCACAUUGGGACUGAGACACGGCCCAAACUCCUACGGGAGGCAGCAGUAGGGAAUCUUCGGCAAUGGACGAAAGUCUGACCGAGCAACGCCGCGUGAGUGAAGAAGGUUUUCGGAUCGUAAAACUCUGUUGGUAGAGAAGAACGUUGGUGAGAGUGGAAAGCUCAUCAAGUGACGGUAACUACACAGAAAGGGACGGCUAACUACGUG